rnacentral:lncRNA from 1 species
GGCUCUUCAGGGGUUCAGGGGGGGUCUCCAAGAGAGAGAGAGCUUUUGUGAGGGAAACUUCAUGUGAGAGAGAAUUGGGUGUACAAGGGUUGAGGGUGAGGUCUCCUCUUGUAAAAUUUUCUUUUCAUAGUGAAGUUUGCAUGCCCCGUGGAGGCGAGCCAUUUUGUGGCUGAUCCACGUAUUUUGAUUGUUUUUCCUUUUGUUUUAUUUCUUCUUUCUUCCUGCUGCAUCGCAUGGUACUGAAAGGAUCUUGGGAGGUGGUGUCCUGGCCAGACAUCCACCCAACACACUGUGUUUUUUUCGAUGCUUCUAGGAGAUCGGUUGUGCUGACCGUCUUAAGCUCUUCAACCAGUUGUAUGAGAGCAAUAUUGAUCUGACUAGAAUCGAUUAUACGAUUCUGACUCUCAUAUCCAAACAUACAGAGCUGGUCUUAUUUUAGCCAAUCCAAAAGAUGUUAGCACUGAACAUGCUUUGAGAUCUAACUUCAACAUCUCAAAUAAUGGUACAGAAUGUGAAGUACUUAUGUGAUGGCCCGGCCCGAGU